UGGGGAAUUUUGGACAAUGGGCGAAAGCCUGAUCCAGCAAUGCCGCGUGUGUGAAGAAGGCCUUCGGGUUGUAAAGCACUUUUGUCCGGAAAGAAAUCCUUGGCUCUAAUACAGUCGGGGGAUGACGGUACCGGAAGAAUAAGCACCGGCUAACUACGUGCCAGCAGCCGCGGUAAUACGUAGGGUGCAAGCGUUAAUCGGAAUUACUGGGCGUAAAGCGUGCGCAGGCGGUUUGCUAAGACCGAUGUGAAAUCCCCGGGCUCAACCUGGGAACUGCAUUGGUGACUGGCAGGCUAGAGUAUGGCAGAGGGGGGUAGAAUUCCACGUGUAGCAGUGAAAUGCGUAGAGAUGUGGAGGAAUACCGAUGGCGAAGGCAGCCCCCUGGGCCAAUACUGACGCUCAUGCACGAAAGCGUGGGGAGCAAACAGGAUUAGAUACCCUGGUAGUCCACGCCCUAAACGAUGUCAACUAGUUGUUGGGGAUUCAUUUCCUUAGUAACGUAGCUAAUGCGUGAAGUUGACCGCCUGGGGAGUACGGUCGCAAGAUUAAAACUUAAAGGAAUUGACGGGGUCAUAGCUGUUUCCU
rnacentral:rRNA from 1 species